UCCUACGGGAGGCAGCAGUAGGGAAUCUUCGGCAAUGGGGGCAACCCUGACCGAGCAACGCCGCGUGAGUGAAGAAGGUUUUCGGAUCGUAAAGCUCUGUUGUAAGAGAAGAACGUGUGUGAGAGUGGAAAGUUCACACAGUGACGGUAACUUACCAGAAAGGGACGGCUAACUACGUGCCAGCAGCCGCGGUA
rnacentral:rRNA from 1 species